UACGUAGGGUGCGAGCGUUAAUCGGAUUUACUGGGCGUAAAGCGUGCGCAGGCGGUUUGUUAAGCGAGAUGCGAAAGCCCCGGGCUCAACCUGGGAACCGCAUUUCGAACUGGCAAACUAGAGUCUUGUAGAGGGGGGUAGAAUUCCAGGUGUAGCGGUGAAAUGCGUAGAGAUCUGGAGGAAUACCGGUGGCGAAGGCGGCCCCCUGGACAAAGACUGACGCUCAGGCACGAAAGCGUGGGUAGCAAACAGG
rnacentral:rRNA from 1 species